CCUACGGGUGGCAGCAGUAGGGAAUCUUCCACAAUGGGCGAAAGCCUGAUGGAGCAACGCCGCGUGAGUGAAGCAGGUCUUCGGAUCGUAAAACCCUGUUGUUCGAGAGGAAAAUGCGUGAGAGUAACUGUUCACGAUUCGCCGGUAUCUAACCAGAAAGCCACGGCUAACGACGUGCCAGAAGCUGCGGUAAUACGUAGGUGGCAAGCGUUAUCCGGAUUUAUUGGGUGUAAAGGGAGCGAAGGUGGUCUUUUAAGUCUGAUGUGAACGGCUUCGGCUUAACCGGAGUAGUGCAUUUGAAACUGGGAGUCUUGAGUGCAGAAGAGGUGGGUGGAACUCGUGGUGUAGCGGUGAAAUGCUUAGAUAUAAGGAAGAACACCGAUUGCGAAGGCAGUUCACUGGUCUGUAACUGACGCUGAGGUUCGAAAGCGUGGGUAGCAAACAGGAUUAGAUACCCCAGUAGUC
rnacentral:rRNA from 1 species